GGGCGUGUGGUCUAGUGGUAUGAUUCUUCCUUAGGGUUACCGUAAACCGGUUUGGAUUUCUCUAGCCUGGAAGAGGUACCGGGUUCGAUUCCCGGCUCGCCCC
rnacentral:tRNA from 1 species